rnacentral:lncRNA from 1 species
UGUUCUUUGUCUAUGUGGGUAUAUAUGUGUGUGUGUGCACAUCCACAUAUUGUGAAAAGGAUAUAUAUAUAUAUAUAUAUAUAUAUAUAUAUAUAUAUAUAUAUAUUCCAGGUGGUAUAUGGGUAUAUGGAUAUGUAUGUGUAUUUAUGUAUAUGUCUUUGUGUGCAUGUAAGCAUGUAUAACUAUGUGUAUAUACAUAAUUUUCUAUGUGUUCAUGACAUAUAUGUAUAUGUAGGUAUAAGAAUAUGUAUACACAUGUGUCGAUGUGCAAAUCUGUGUAUUUGUAUGUGAAUAUAUGUUCACAUGUAUAAGUGUGUACCUGUAGCAUAUGUAUAUAUAUAUUCAUUUAUGUAUGUGUUGAAGAGAGUAUGUUUACAAAAUGUGUAUGAAUAUGUGCAUGUGGAUAUAUAUAUAUAUAUAUAUAUAUAUAUAUAUGCAUGCAUUCUAUGAGUGUAAGUGGAUAUAUAUACACUGAUGUAUGUAUAUAAAAUGAUAUAGAUGUCUAUGUGUGUAUGAGCAUAUAUAAAUAUAUAUAUAUGCAUGCAUGUACGUGCCUGUGGAGAUAACAGAUAAAUGGAUCGAUGAUAGAUAGCUAGACAGACAGAUCCAUCAAUCGAUAAGAUAGACAAAGAGAUAUAUAUGUGUGUGCAUACAUUUCUGAGCUAAGACUUUCACUCUGAUCCUUUUGAUUGACAGAGAUUUAGCUGCUGAGUACACCAGUGUUUAAAAUCACAUUAAAAUAAAUAAGGGAUUCGUCUGAGUUCAGUGUAGAUGUCAAGGAUAAAAUGAAAUGCUGAAGGCCUGUAUGAAGAUGAAGCAGGUUCCUGAACAUUGGCAGCUAACCUGUUCUGAAUAACUAAAAAUGUAAACAACCAAAUAGACAAGAAAAGAAGUCUCAGGAAGAAAUUCGCUUUUCCACUGCAGAAUUGAGCUGUAUUCAAACUGCCUAUAAAUAAAUAGCUCCUGAAUGUAAACUAUGAACCUGUGCUGAUGCUUCUGUUUUCUUGAAACUGUGUUGUGUGGGAGGAGGAAUCUAAUAAUUAAUGGGUUUCCAGCCUUUUUCAAAACUUAUUUAAGUAAUCAUGAAAUCACCUGUCCCCAAAAAAUGUGACUGUCUAAUGUUCAAGGAACUGGAGCAGAUUCUAAAUGUUCCAGAACUGAACAGUGUUCUUCUUGACAUGGGCUUCAAAGCUCAGUCAGUUACCCAAGCUAACGAAAGUAGCCAACUUUGGUGGUAAGUCUAGUGUUCACAACUUUACCAAGGUAGGAGAGAAAUAGAACCUUCAUAUGUUUAGUUUAAUAUCAUAAAACACACUUUAAAAGGACCAUACACUUAUGACAAAG